GCUGGACGCGAGUGAUUCCGACAGCCUUACAUAAAAUAGAAGAAGAAGAAAAAGCACACAGGAGGAACUCAUUUAAUUUUAGUGAGAAAUUUCAGUAUAAAAAGUUAUGUAUCGUGUUCUGCACCAAGAUGACUUGAAAGUCUCAGUGAUUUCCCAAAUUGCCCUCGGACAACUUGUGGGAUAGAAAGAGUAAGCACGAAAAGAAGUGCAAUCAGUUUUAUUACAAACUGAAAAUAUAGCUAUGAGAACGAAAAAUUUCCUAAUAAUCCUGUGCUGCGUCAUUGCCACGAGUCUGAUACUUAUUAUCUUGGGACCCACAGGACAACAAAAUCAGUCUAUAAAAGACAUCAUAGAUGGAACACACCAGCAAUUUAAGGAGCUCAAGGAACAACUCAGAGUAUCCGAUGAAAAGAAAUUGGAGAUUGAACCGAAGUUUUUGGGACUCCUCGGUUUUACACAGACAAUUUACAAUGGCACCAAAUCAAAUUUUUCUAUAGUAACUUAUGCAUUGAAGGGUCAGGUGGCAUCGGUGAUCCUACUUGCACAAAAUAUGGCCCAACGCUUGCCCAAUGAACCUCUGUUGAUCUACGACCUGGGACUGUCAGACGAAGAUUUCCGUGGUAUCAGUGGAUUUUGCAAUAGUUCAAAGUGUUCUGUGAUAUCCUACGACUUGAGACUUUAUCCCUCCCAUGUCAUGGACGAGGAGAUGCAUGCGUUUCGACCACUUUUAAUCAAAGACGCCCUCAUGCGGACACACACAGUGCUUUUUAUUGAGAACAGCGUUCGAAUGCGUGGUAGCAGUCACGAUUUACAUGAUCUCCUGAAAAUUGUGAACGAGAGUGGAAGUGGCGUGCUAGGAUGGGUUACUAGGCAGGCUGUGUCUGCCCGAACCCAUCCAAAAAUGUUCGAAUAUUUUCAAGUGACGAAGGAGAGUUUUCUCUUCUUGCCCAUGGUAGAGAUGGAUGUGGUCUUCUUCAUUAGCACUCCUAUUGUGAAUGAAAGAAUUUUAUUGCCCUGGAUUAAGUGCACGCUUACACCAGAAUGUAUUCAUCCUAUUGAAAAUGUCUCAAAAAUUGGAGAAAUGCAGUUUGAUACUACAAGAAGGGACCGUUCUUCACAGCGAAAGCAUUGGUCAUCGUGAUGUGGACGGAGAAGUGGUUUUUACCACAGCCAUGGUGGCUUAUCCGGAACAGAUGUCGGACCUCUCUUUUGAAGGGCAGAUUCUCGUAUUCACGUACCUCCCUUAUUGGCAAUUAUUGUGUCCCGAGUGAAGAAAAUGUCUCAAAAAUUGGAGAAAUGCAGUUUGAUACUACAAGAUGGGACCGUUCUUCACGGCGAAAGCAUUGAUGGUCAUCGUGAUGUGGACGGAGAAGUGGUUUUUACCACAGCCAUGGUGGCUUAUCCGGAACAGAUGUCGGACCCCUCUUUUGAAGGGCAGAUUUUCGUAUUCACGUACCCCCGUUAUUGGCAAUUAUUGGUGUCCCAAGUGAAAGCAAGUAUAGUAGGGAUAGUAGGCUAUGCAUUAGUGAAAAAACAGUAUUCCUGUAAAGUUCAUAGUGUAAUUGUAAUAAUAAUAAUUGUAAUAGUUGUAAUUGUACAAUUGUAAAAUAAUGUGUUCUUUUUCAUAUUUAUAUGAAUAUAUAUAUAUACAAAUAUUCUUGGA